CGACCGCUGGCGGCGUGCUUACCACAUACAAGUCGAACGGAAAGGCCCUGCUUUUGUGGGGUGCUCGAGUGGCGAACGGGUGAGUAACACGUGAGUAACCUGCCCUUGACUUUGGGAUAACUUCAGGAAACUGGGGCUAAUACCGGAUAGGAGCUCCUGCUGCAUGGUGGGGGUUGGAAAGUUUCGGCGGUUGGGGAUGGACUCGCGGCUUAUCAGCUUGUUGGUGGGGUAGUGGCUUACCAAGGCUUUGACGGGUAGCCGGCCUGAGAGGGUGACCGGCCACAUUGGGACUGAGAUACGGCCCAGACUCCUACGGGAGGCAGCAGUGGGGAAUAUUGCACAAUGGGCGGAAGCCUGAUGCAGCAACGCCGCGUGCGGGAUGACGGCCUUCGGGUUGUAAACCGCUUUCGCCUGUGACGAAGCGUGAGUGACGGUAAUGGGUAAAGAAGCACCGGCUAACUACGUG
rnacentral:rRNA from 1 species